GAUCAACGCCCUCGGGAAACUAGCCGUUGCUGUGCCCGUCGCCCCCGCCUCCCCUCCAUCCGACGGCUAGUUCUUCCCCCCUUCUUGAUCUUGUUCCGCCUCUCCUCCUCCUUCUCUUCCCCCUUCGGUUUCUGUUCCUUGUUCCACCUCGGGAAUCGGAUCAUGGAAUCCGAUCGCCGUUCCUCGACUAUCCCACCUCCUACGCCAUCGUGGGCGGCGGCAAAUGCACCGGCCCCCACCCCUCUGGCCACCGACAGGAGGCCCCGACGCUCUCGUGUAAAGCAGGUCGGCUCUCGCUACUUGUCCCCCUCCCAUUCCUCUUCUUCCGAACGACAACUCCUCGCCGCCUCGAACGGAUUCCCCCCUCCCUCGUCCCUGUCACUCCUUCCCCAGAAGCACCGGCAGCAGAAGCCCCAUGCACCCGAGGAGACCGACGAGAACCAGCCCCUGGCAUCCAUCAGGCGCAGCUUGGAGACCCCCCUCCCCUUCUCCGCCCAAAGCAAACCUCCCGGCACUCUCAAGAAGAGAGCCGUCGUCCGAUUAUUCGCUGACAACAGCCGCAAUGACGUAGCAGAGCAGCCGCCGCGGCUUGCUGAAUCGAGUCGGAGGCCGAGGCCGGGAACCCCGAUGGCGCGCCCUGUUGUUGUGAAUAACACCGGCGUUCCGAGGACGAACCCUCGGCCGCCCACCCCCACCCGGGUGAGCCUCUUUCCUCCCGAGGGCCACGGCCGUGCUUAUGGAAGCGGCGACUACAGGUGGGAAGAAACCUCCUCGGAGAAUUCUUUUUCUGAUCCGGAGACUUGCACCGUCAGCAGUCAGGGCGGCCUCUACUACAGUCCGCCCCUCCUCCCCCCUGCGUCUUGCAGACCGAGGUCGUGCGCCGAGAUCCUGUCCUCCAUGCGGGAGGCCGAUCCCUUGCCAACCUUGUCGGCCAGACCUGCUGCAGUAGAUGCGUGUUCCGGCUGGCAAGGCGCCGCCAAGGACCCUACGUUUAGCGCAUCAACCACCUCGCUUUGCUUCAGCUCUCUGAGCUCGGCUAUCUCCUGUCGUCAACAGCAGCAUGUGCUCAAUCUGAGCAGGUCCGUCAGUAGGCCCCUCUUCUCGUCGAGGCCGCCGCAACCACCUUGUGCUAAGCCAGGCGCAGAGGUGAAGAAAGGGAGGAAGGCGGUGGGCUGGCAGGAGGAUGCCCAUGUACUUAGGCUACUCGACAACCAUUACAUGCAGUGGAGAUUUGUCAAUGCGAGAGCACUGAGGGCAGUGGAACCUCGGUGGGUUGCUGCUGAGAAAUCACUGUACGGGCUCUCGGUGAGGAUUUCAAAGCUUCAAAGCUCUGUUGCAGAGAAGAGAAUUCGGCUUGAACAGAUUAAAAGAAGAGAGAGUUUAUUGGCCAUCAUCCAUCAUCAAAUGCUGCAUUUGGAUGAGUGGACCAUUCUUGAAGACGAACAUUCAAGAUCUGUUUUAGGGGCAACAAAGGCUCUUCAAGAUGCUUCACUUCGACUUCCAGUCACUGGGAAUGCGAGGGUAGAUAUGAGAGAACUCAAGGAAGUUCUGGACUCUGCAUUACUUAUGGUGGACUCAUUGACUCCAUGUGUUGCGAGAUUUCUACCAAAGGCUGAAGAUAUUGAUGAUGCAGCCUCAGAUCUGGCCAGUGUAAUCAGUACUCAGAGAGCUCUGAUCGAGGAAUGUCGAAAUCUUUUGUCGCAAGCACAUGACUUGCAGGUGAAGGAAUGCUGCUUGAGAACCCAACUCAUUCAAGCGAAGCAGAGCAACACAUAGCCAACCUUUGCAAUUUCUGACUCGGUGAGACUGCCAUUCAACAGCCAAACCACAGAUGAAGUGAAGUAGCUUCAACCUAACAGGCUCCUGGGCCGAACCCAAUCUUUUUCUUGGAGACAUCAUAGACUACGUUGAAGGUCUUCUGCUGCACGUUCCCCAGUAUGCCCACAUCGCUGUCAUCGUCAUUGGCGGCGAAGGCU